GCUUGACCUCGGAUCAGGUAGGGAUACCCGCUGAACUUAAGCAUAUCAU
rnacentral:rRNA from 1 species